CUGGCGGCAGGCCUAACACAUGCAAGUCGAGCGGUAGAGAGAAGCUUGCUUCUCUUGAGAGCGGCGGACGGGUGGGUAAUGCCUAGGAAUCUGCCUGGUAGUGGGGGAUAACGCUCGGAAACGGACGCUAAUACCGCAUACGUCCUACGGGAGAAAGCAGGGGACCUUCGGGCCUUGCGCUAUCAGAUGAGCCUAGGUCGGAUUAGCUAGUUGGUGAGGUAAUGGCUCACCAAGGCGACGAUCCGUAACUGGUCUGAGAGGAUGAUCAGUCACACUGGAACUGAGACACGGUCCAGACUCCUACGGGAGGCAGCAGUGGGGAAUAUUGGACAAUGGGCGAAAGCCUGAUCCAGCCAUGCCGCGUGUGUGAAGAAGGUCUCGGAUUGUAAAGCACUUU
rnacentral:rRNA from 1 species